GUGACGAGCGGCGGACGGGUGAGUAAUGUCUGGGAAACUGCCUGAUGGAGGGGGAUAACUACUGGAAACGGUAGCUAAUACCGCAUAACGUCGCAAGACCAAAGAGGGGGACCUUCGGGCCUCUUGCCAUCAGAUGUGCCCAGAUGGGAUUAGCUAGUAGGUGGGGUAAUGGCUCACCUAGGCGACGAUCCCUAGCUGGUCUGAGAGGAUGACCAGCCACACUGGAACUGAGACACGGUCCAGACUCCUACGGGAGGCAGCAGUGGGGAAUAUUGCACAAUGGGCGCAAGCCUGAUGCAGCCAUGCCGCGUGUGUGAAGAAGGCCUUCGGGUUGUAAAGCACUUUCAGCGAGGAGGAAGGUGGUGAGCUUAAUACGCUCAUCAAUUGACGUUACUCGCAGAAGAAGCACCGGCUAACUCCGUGCCAGCAGCCGCGGUAAUACGGAGGGUGCAAGCGUUAAUCGGAAUUACUGGGCGUAAAGCGCACGCAGGCGGUUUGUUAAGUCAGAUGUGAAAUCCCC
rnacentral:rRNA from 1 species